rnacentral:rRNA from 1 species
GCCCUAGUAACGGCGAGUGAAGCGGCAACAGCUCAAAUUUGAAAUCUGGCUCUCGGGCCCGAGUUGUAAUUUGUAGAGGAUACUUUUGAUGCGGUGCCUUCCGAGUUCCCUGGAACGGGACGCCAUAGAGGGUGAGAGCCCCGUCUGGUUGGAUGCCAAAUCUCUGUAAAGUUCCUUCGACGAGUCGAGUAGUUUGGGAAUGCUGCUCUAAAUGGGAGGUAUAUGUCUUCUAAAGCUAAAUACCGGCCAGAGACCGAUAGCGCACAAGUAGAGUGAUCGAAAGAUGAAAAGCACUUUGAAAAGAGAGUUAAAAAGUACGUGAAAUUGUUGAAAGGGAAGCGUUUAUGACCAGACUUGGGCUUGGUUAAUCAUCUGGGGUUCUCCCCAGUGCACUUUUCCAGUCCAGGCCAGCAUCAGUUUUCCCCGGGGGAUAAAGACUUCGGGAAUGUGGCUCUCUUCGGGGAGUGUUAUAGCCCGUUGUGUAAUACCCUGGGGGGGACUGAGGUUCGCGCAUCUGCAAGGAUGCUGGCGUAAUGGUCAUCAACGACCCGUCUUGAAACACGGACCAAGGAGUCGUCUUCGUAUGCGAGUGUUCGGGUGUCAAACCCCUACGCGUAAUGAAAGUGAACGCAGGUGAGAGCUUCGGCGCAUCAUCGACCGAUCCUGAUGUUCUCGGAUGGAUUUGAGUAAGAGCAUACGGGGCCGGACCCGAAAGAAGGUGAACUAUGCCUGUAUAGGGUGAAGCCAGAGGAAACUCUGGUGGAGGCUCGCAGCGGUUCUGACGUGCAAAUCGAUCGUCAAAUAUGGGCA